CUUCACAUUGCAACGCCACAUUACGCCUCUUUGCUCGACCACACCACCUCUCUCUCUCUGCUCGGCCGUAUCAAAUCAAAAUCGUCGGAAAAGUCAGUCUCCGCCACCACCACAAAAAAUUUCUCUAUCUCCUUCUCCCUUUUCUCUAUCAAAAUCGCCGGAAAAGUCAGUCUUCGCCACCACCACAGAAAGAAAUUGAGUUAUAAAAGCUAGCAUCUGGAGUUUACCCUUACUAUGAAGGAAAAGAGUAUAAUUGGUUUAUACAGGAAUGUAAUUAAAUUGAACACUUUUGUAGCACAAACAAAAGCUUAAAUGUGACACCAUUUUUCUUGGUGCAAUUUCACAUCAAACACUUUUGUAGCACAAGCAAAAGCUAAAUAUAAUACAAAACAAGGUGUAGUCAUGGCUAAAAAAAGGCAUUUUACCUAAUGAAUAUCAUGUUAUUUCGGGCAAUUGGUUGCUGCUGCUGCUUGUGUGAGAGCUCAUGUCAUUGUUGAUGUUGUUGCUGGUCAGAGGAUAUCUCUUCUCCACAUGGGGUAAGAGUAGCUAUGGAGAUGCAAGCAUAACCAAAACAAUAUAAGAAGUACAAGCUCUAAAGGUAAGCUCUAGAGGAAGAAUUGUACAAGAUAUGAAAUUUGAAUUCCAGCCAAUGUAAGUUUGAAAUUUGAAUUCCCCUCUUAUUUUUUUGGAUUUUUUUUAUUGAUAUAGUAGUUUGAUUGGAGUUCUAUAAACUUCAUUCAGAAAACUUCUCAAGUCAUUUGUUCAAAACCAUUCUCUUUUCAAAAUUUCAAAAUUGAAACUGACAUGGUAAUUCCAAAGUGCUUAGAUUAUGGAUUUUCGGUGAUUGUAGCGAUGAUUAAGAUUUCUAUUGUUCUUUAUUUGGUUGAUUUGAUUCUGCUACCAAUCCCAUAGAUGCUAUGUUGCUAUGUAUUUUUUUCAGGUUCUUGACACACCAAUCCAACCAAAGCUACUACUUAUUGUGCAUAUUGGAAGGAUAAUUCUCUGUGUCAUAACUUAGAUAUGAUGGUGUGAAUUGGUAAGGCAAACAUGAGCCCCUGCCUGAGGUCUCUCGGACUAUACUUCUGCACAAACAUUGUAGACAAGGAAAUAAUUGUUUUUUAUUGUUUAAUUGGUAAUAAUUGUUACUUUUCAAAAAAAAAAAAUUUGUUUUAGGUUCUUUUUUGUGUUGGAUGAACAAUUGAUACUGAAACAGGUAGAGCUUUUUAAGAAUAAUAUUGUUUGUGCAUAUUUUCUUAAUUAUUUUUGUUCUUUAGUGUAUUAACGACACAUAUUUGAGCUGCAAACUUCUCUAUCAUUAUAGUCCCAUAAGAUUUUAAUCAUAACUUGAAAGGCAACAAACCAGAUGUUAGAGGAAGCU